GUGAGUAAAGCAGUGGGGAGAAGACUAGCAACCGAAGAUAACUGGAAGACAAAGGGAAUCCCUCAAAAUAUGUUGGUUGAGAAGAGAGUGCCCGCGUGCCCGAGCACGUGAACGGGCUUUAGGAGUCUCACAGAGGGGCGGGCGCGAAAGAAUACUGUACAAGAGCGGACCCAUCAUAGUGGGAGCUCAGGAGCUGCCGGAUGAUGAGUGAAUCCAUGAGUUAGUUACAAGUGACCGCAGGGAGAAAAGAAGCGUGAAGGAGUCAUUGCAGACAAUCUCAGCAGACUGCGGGGAGGAAGCACUAAGCUCCUCGAUGCUGGCAGGUGGCACAGGGCCGAACCCGCAGUGUGUGCUCCGAAGGACCUCGGGCUCCCUCCAACCCUACCCCAGUGUUGCUUAGUGAGGAAACUUACCGAUGCCGAGUGUGCCUUCAUGUAUGGUAGAGGCAGAAAAGUCAACUUCUUGGCAACCUUACGGGAUUGGGUUCACGAGCCCACCUCACAGACCUCUAAAACAGCUCACUGUCACCAAAUGCCCUUUCAAAUGAUGCGGAGCUGAAAGAAAAAUCGAAGUCACCUCCCCAUAUGAUAUGUAAGAAAUGUCACAUUCCUAUCUUCCCAAGGAAAAAAAGUCCAACCGCGGCAACUCUGAAAGCAAGCCUCGUCAGUUGCAUCGUUCCUUUCUUCCCACGCACCAAACACGCGUGCGCUCGCACGCACGCAUGCGCACGUCCUGUAUUAGGGACACUGUCAUGUAAGGAACGGGUAGUAACUAUAACGGCGGCCUUUACUGCAGACUUCCUAUCAGGCAGGCACUGGAUCAAGGGGCGACGGCUAAUUAUCACUUGACCACACCCCUGUGAGGAAACUUAAAUCUCCUGAAAGACACAUUGCUUGCGCACAACUGAGAUGGGAUUUGAAGCAAGGGUGCUUAUUAACCACGAGGCUAUGCUGUCUCCUAGUGAGGUUUAAACGUUUAUCCCUGUAAAUGGCUCUCAU